GGCCUGGUGGUGUAGUGGUUACACAUCUGCUUUACCUUCGUAGGGCUACUAGAAAUUUGCUACAGAAGUCCCUUGUUCGACUCAAGGCCAGGCUA